AUGGUAGUCUUAGCUCGCAAACAUAUCAAGGUUUCACCCCUUUGUCCCGUGUGCAAGUCUGGUCUGGAAGACAUUAAGCACUUGAUUUUCAGCUGCCCUAGAGCGAUGUCAGUAUGGCAUGCACUUGGCUUGGAUGAUGUUGUUAAACAUGCCCUUACAGUGGAUCGCUCCGGUUAUGUCAUUCUAGAAGAACUACUGCGAAGACCACGUGGUUCUUCGCCGGUGCUUGGCCAAUUGGGACUACAUGAAACACUGGCUGUGGCAGCGUGGUAUAUCUGGUGGGAAAGGAGAGAAUCAUGCAAGGGGCAAAUGGUCAAAACUCCAAGGAGCACAGCUUUUGCCUUUCAUGCAAUAACAGGCAAUUCGACAGCUAAGCCAAGGGACAACAUUGCUGUGAAGUUUACGUGGGAAAAAACAGGCCAAAGAUCAUACAAACUGAACACUGACGCCUCGUUCUUUGAAAACGGCGUCGGAGCAAUUGCUGCGAUCAUUAGGAACUGUCGAGGAGAAGCAGUGGCGGGAGUGGCAGAACUGUUCACAUAUGCUGAUAGCGCGACUGCAGCAGAAGCGUUGGCUCUUCGCCGAGGUCUACAACCUGUCAAUCAAAUGGGUUGCUCCAGGGUGACGGUAGAGUCAGAUUGUUUGGAGAUUAUUUCGGCAUGUAGAGGCGAGGCUGACAUUUUGGCACCAUAUUCUGCGAUCUUAGCAGAUUGCUUCCGGUAUGCCCAUGAUAUUGCUUCAAUUCAGUUUCAGCAUUGUCCGAGGGAGGCAAAUGGUUUGGCACAUUUCUUAGCAAGACAUGCUUUUGAUUCAAACCUGAUGUUUACUUGGGACGAUGAUCCCCCUAGUUUCCUUUUACCGCAUGUUUUGAAGGAUGUAAUUUUCAUUAACUCAUAA
rnacentral:rRNA from 1 species